GACGAACGCUGGCGGCGUGCCUAAUACAUGCAAGUAGAACGCUGAAGGAGGAGCUUGCUUCUCUGGAUGAGUUGCGAACGGGUGAGUAACGCGUAGGUAACCUGCCUGGUAGCGGGGGAUAACUAUUGGAAACGAUAGCUAAUACCGCAUAAGAGUAGAUGUCGCAUGACAUUUGCUUAAAAGGUGCAAUUGCAUCACUACCAGAUGGACCUGCGUUGUAUUAGCUAGUUGGUGAGGUAACGGCUCACCAAGGCAACGAUACAUAGCCGACCUGAGAGGGUGAUCGGCCACACUGGGACUGAGACACGGCCCAGACUCCUACGGGAGGCAGCAGUAGGGAAUCUUCGGCAAUGGACGGAAGUCUGACCGAGCAACGCCGCGUGAGUGAAGAAGGUUUUCGGAUCGUAAAGCUCGGUUGUAAGAGAAGAACGAGUGUGAGAGUGGAAAGUUCACACUGUGACGGUAUCUUACCAGAAAGAGACGGCUAACUACGUG
rnacentral:rRNA from 1 species